AGGGCUUCCAUGUUUUGUAAUUGGAAUGGACAGAUGUUAACCUUCUCUGUGAGUAUCAAUUGGAGGGCAAGUCUGGUGCCAGCAGCCGCGGUAAUUCCAGCUCCAAUAGCGUAUAUUAAAGUUGUUGCAGUUAAAAAGCUCGUAGUUGGAUUUCUGGUUUGAUGCGCCUGGCCCGCUACGGUUUACGUACGUGAGUGCCGGUGCGCGUCUGCCAUCCUUCUAGAAAACGUGUCUACGGUUCAUUCCGGCGGAUACGCGAUCUAGAUCUUUUACUUUGAAAAAAUUAGAGUGUUUAAAGCAGGCAUUUGCGAUGAAUACAUUAGCAUGGAAUAAUAAUUUAGGACUUUGGUUCUAUUUUGUUGGUUUCCGGAACUGAAGUAAUGAUUGAUAGGGAUUGUUGGGGGUGCUAGUAUUCGGCGGCCAGAGGUGAAAUUCUUGGAUUCGCUGAAGACUAACUUAUGCGAAAGCAUUCACCAAGGAAGUCUUCUUUAAUCAAGAACGAAAGUUGGGGGAUCGAAGACGAUCAGAUACCGUCGUAGUCUCAACCAUA
rnacentral:rRNA from 1 species